AUUGAACGCUGGCGGCAGGCUUAACACAUGCAAGUCGAGCGGGGUGAUGGUGCUUGCACUAUCACUUAGCGGCGGACGGGUGAGUAAUGCUUAGGAAUCUGCCUAUUAGUGGGGGACAACAUCUCGAAAGGGAUGCUAAUACCGCAUACGUCCUACGGGAGAAAGCAGGGGAUCACUUGUGACCUUGCGCUAAUAGAUGAGCCUAAGUCGGAUUAGCUAGUUGGUGGGGUAAAGGCCUACCAAGGCGACGAUCUGUAGCGGGUGUGAGAGGAUGCUCCGCCACAAUGGGACUGAGACACGGCCCAGACUCCUACGGGAGGCAGCAGUGGGGAAUAUUGGACAAUGGGGGGAACCCUGAUCCAGCCAUGCCGCGUGUGUGAAGAAGGCCUUAUGGUUGUAAAGCACUUUAAGCGAGGAGGAGGCUCUUUUGGUUAAUACCCAGAAUGAGUGGACGUUACUCGCAGAAUAAGCACCAGCUAACUCUGUGCCAGCCGCCGCAGUAA
rnacentral:rRNA from 1 species